rnacentral:snoRNA from 1 species
UCCCGGUGAAGAAACAUUCACAUCUCUUACCUCUUGUCCUCGUCCCAGAGCCUGUAAAGGUGAACCCACUGGGGCUGGUUGGGGGAGAAGAGGCAAGUUUGUUCCAGAAGGAGCUGUCUGAGGGAU